rnacentral:rRNA from 1 species
GUCGAGCGAAUGGAUUGAGAGCUUGCUCUCAAGAAGUUAGCGGCGGACGGGUGAGUAACACGUGGGUAACCUGCCCAUAAGACUGGGAUAACUCCGGGAAACCGGGGCUAAUACCGGAUAACAUUUUGAACCGCAUGGUUCGAAAUUGAAAGGCGGCUUCGGCUGUCACUUAUGGAUGGACCCGCGUCGCAUUAGCUAGUUGGUGAGGUAACGGCUCACCAAGGCAACGAUGCGUAGCCGACCUGAGAGGGUGAUCGGCCACACUGGGACUGAGACACGGCCCAGACUCCUACGGGAGGCAGCAGUAGGGAAUCUUCCGCAAUGGACGAAAGUCUGACGGAGCAACGCCGCGUGAGUGAUGAAGGCUUUCGGGUCGUAAAACUCUGUUGUUAGGGAAGAACAAGUGCUAGUUGAAUAAGCUGGCACCUUGACGGUACCUAACCAGAAAGCCACGGCUAACUACGUGCCAGCAGCCGCGGUAAUACGUAGGUGGCAAGCGUUAUCCGGAAUUAUUGGGCGUAAAGCGCGCGCAGGUGGUUUCUUAAGUCUGAUGUGAAAGCCCACGGCUCAACCGUGGAGGGUCAUUGGAAACUGGGAGACUUGAGUGC